rnacentral:tRNA from 1 species
GGGGGUGUAGCUCAGUUGGGAGAGCACUAGCUUCGCAAGUUAGAAGUCGGCGGUUCGAUCCCGCUCACCUCCACCA